rnacentral:rRNA from 1 species
UUGGUGAUCAUAAUAACUCGUCGAAUCGCAUGGCCUUGUGCGGCGAUGCUUCAUUCAAAUAUCUACCCUAUCAACUUUCGAUGGUAGGAUAGUGGCCUACCAUGGUUUUAACGGGUAACGGGGAAUAAGGGUUCGAUUCCGGAGAGGGAGCCUGAGAAACGGCUACCACAUCCAAGGAAGGCAGCAGGCGCGCAAAUUACCCAAUCCCAAUUCGGGGAGGUAGUGACAAUAAAUAACAAUAUAGGGCUCUUUUGGGUCUUAUAAUUGGAAUGAGUACAAUUUAAAUCACUUAACGAGGAACAAUUGGAGGGCAAGUCUGGUGCCAGCAGCCGCGGUAAUUCCAGCUCCAAUAGCGUAUAUUAAAGUUGUUGCAGUUAAAAAGCUCGUAGUUGAAAUUUGGGCCUGGACGGGCGGUCCGCCGCAAGGCGUUGUACUGUCUGGCUGGGUCUUUCCUCUUGGUGAAUCGGCGUGUCCUUCACUGGGUGCGUCGGGGAACCAGGACAUUUACCUUGAGAAAAUUAGAGUGUUCAAAGGCAGGCAGUUUUGCCCAAAUACAUUAGCAUGGAUAAUGAAAUAGGACGCGCGGGUUCCUAUUUUGUUGGUUUCUAGAGUCGCCGUAUGAUUAAUAAGGGACAGCUGGGGGCA